rnacentral:rRNA from 1 species
AUGAACGCUGGCGGCGUGCCUCAUCCAUGCAAGUCGAGCGAACGGACGAGAAGCUUGCUUCUCUGAUGUUAGCGGCGGACGGGUGAGUAACACGUGGAUAACCUACCUAUAAGACUGGGAUAACUUCGGGAAACCGUAGCUAAUACCGGAUAAUAUUUUGAACCGCAUGGCUCAAAAGUGAAAGACGGUCUUGCUGUCACUUAUAGAUGGAUCCGCGCUGCAUUAGCUAGUUGGUAAGGUAACGGCUUACCAAGGCAACGAUGCAUAGCCGACCUGAGAGGGUGAUCGGCCACACUGGAACUGAGACACGGUCCAGACUCCUACGGGAGGCAGCAGUAGGGAAUCUUCCGCAAUGGGCGAAAGCCUGACGGAGCAACGCCGCGUGAGUGAUGAAGGUCUUCGGAUCGUAAAACUCUGUUAUUAGGGAAGAACAUAUGUGUAAGUAACUGUGCACAUCUUGACGGUACCUAAUCAGAAAGCCACGGCUAACUACGUG